AUGUGGAAAAGGGUGCGUUUCACAACAUAUCAUGGUCACUUCAUGCUAAGGUCAACAGAUUUGUUAGCUCUUCCAAGCUUUUGCGAUGCAACUGUCUCUAGAGGAGACCCUGAUGACGACGCAGACUGUGUAUACUUUCAAGUGGCGUUGCUAUAUACACCAUCCUCUGGUGAAAGACGUAUCAGGGUGCAUACGGCAGCUGCACCUGCGGUCACAGAUCUUAGUGAAAUGUAUCGUCAAGCAGAUACUGGUGCCAUUGUGUCAGGGUUGGCUAGAAUCGCUGUUGAAAACUCACUGUCUGAUAAGCUGGACAGUGCCCGGCAGCAAAUACAGUUAAAGCUUCUGAGAAGUUUGAAGGAAUACCGGAACCUAUAUGUUGUACAACAUCGCAUAGGAAGGAGACUGAUAUAUACAUUCUGGCCUUAUGUAAAUCUCUUGCUCUGA
rnacentral:rRNA from 1 species